rnacentral:rRNA from 1 species
CCUGCGGAGGAUCAUUACUAGAGCAAAGGAUAGACAGCGCCCGCGGAGCUCGCUCCCGGGGCUACCCUACUCCCGUAGGGUUUAGAGUCGUCGGGCCUCUCGGAGAAGCUCGGUCCUGAACUCCACCCUUGAAUAAACUACCUUUGUUGCUUUGGCGGGCCGCCUCGUGCCAGCGGCUUCGGCUGUUGAGUGCCCGCCAGAGGACCCCAACUCUUGUUUUUAGUGAUGUCUGAGUACUAUAUAAUAGUUAAAACUUUCAACAACGGAUCUCUUGGUUCUGGCAUCGAUGAAGAACGCAGCGAAAUGCGAUAAGUAAUGUGAAUUGCAGAAUUCAGUGAAUCAUCGAAUCUUUGAACGCACAUUGCGCCCUCUGGUAUUCCGGGGGGCAUGCCUGUUCGAGCGUCAUUAUAACCACUCAAGCUCUCGCUUGGUAUUGGGGUUCGCGGUUUCGCGGCCCCUAAAAUCAGUGGCGGUGCCUGUCGGCUCUACGCGUAGUAAUACUCCUCGCGAUUGAGUCCGGUAGGUCUACUUGCCAGCAACCCCUAAUUUUUUUAAGGUUGACCUCGGAUCAGGUAGGGAUACCCGCUGAACUUAAGCAUAUCAAUAAGCGGAGGAAAAGAAACCAACAGGGAUUACCUCAGUAACGGCGAGUGAAGCGGUAACAGCUCAAAUUUGAAAGCUGGCUCUUUUAGGGUCCGCGUUGUAAUUUGUAGAAGAUGCUUCGGGUGUGGCCCCGGUCUAAGUUCCUUGGAACAGGACGUCAUAGAGGGUGAGAAUCCCGUAUGUGACUGGGUGCUUUCGCCCAUGUGAAGCUCUUUCGACGAGUCGAGUUGUUUGGGAAUGCAGCUCAAAAUGGGUGGUAAAUUUCAUCUAAAGCUAAAUAUUGGCCAGA